rnacentral:lncRNA from 1 species
CUGAAGAAACUAGAAAAAGACAAUUUCUGGAGAAAUUGCGGAGUGAAUGCUGGCUGCUGGAUGAAGAAGCCGAAGCAGUAUGAAGAGGAGGAAAGUUUCUAGGUUGAACAUGUGGAAGGAGCAGCAGAGGGCCCCAAUGGAUGGAUUACUGAACAGAACAACUGGGCACAGGGUCCUCAAGGCCAAGGGGUCGGCAGGGAGACAGGAUCAGAGCACAUCACAACAGCACAAUGACAAACGUCUGCAGCAAUGGAAACCAAACAUUAAAGCAAAGUGACAGCUCUGCACCGCUUGCCUUUUCAAAUCACCACCAAUGACCUAUGACGUGACUUCAUAUUUGCUCUGCAAGGGCGGCUCAGCAGCGUUGUGUGUUGUUGCCACAGAGGCAGCUGGCGUCACUGUUACCACUGACCUCCCACGAGCUGAGGCCUCAGGGACCCCAGGAGUCAUGGAAGCCAGCAGCACCACCCAUGAGACGCAGGCCCUGUGUCUGAUGUAACAACCUGAAAUCAGCAGACUUUGUCACUGCAUCCCAUAUGUAGACUUCUUAAAAUAAGGCCUCGGAAAUCUUUGACUGACCUUUUGUUUGAACAUGAACCUCCCUUCAUUGUUUUUCUAGCUGGGCUCCAUAGAGAUGAUCAGUCUUCAGUCUCAUAUUAAUCUUUCACUCUAAUUGUCUCUUGCUCUCUUCCUGCCAACCUGUUUGAAAAGCCUCAAGAUUAGGAUUUCUUCAAAUAACUUAGUGUCAAAAGACACUGAAAUCAGAGAAGAGUACUUCAACGGUGACAAAGGACAAUUCCAAACAGAUUGAACCCGUCUUAUUGAAGCCGGAAUUUAAUCUUGAUGUUUGUGCAAAUCGUACAGCAGACCUUUUGAUGAAAUAAAAAGCUGUGAUGCUACAUGUAGCUCCAUGCCCUUGGAUGUUCUGUCAUUUGUC